GGCGAACGGGUGAGUAACGCGUAAACAACCUGCCCAACGGAUGGGGACAACAGACGGAAACGACUGCUAAUACCCAAUAGACUCCGGUUUCGCAUGAAACCGACAGGAAAGGUGGCCUCUCGAAGAAGCUACCGCCGCAGGAGGGGUUUGCGUUUGAUUAGUUAGUUGGUGGUUAACGGCCUACCAAGACGAUGAUCAAUAGCCGGUCUGAGAGGAUGAACGGCCACACUGGAACUGAGACACGGUCCAG
rnacentral:rRNA from 1 species